UACGUAGGGCGCAGGCGUUGUCCGGAAUUAUUGGGCGUAAAGAGCUCGUAGGCGGCCUGUCGCGUCUGCUGUGAAAUCCCGGGGCUUAACCCCGGGCGUGCAGUGGAUACGGGCUGGCUGGAGGCAGGCAGGGGAGAACGGAAUUCCCGGUGUAGCGGUGAAAUGCGCAGAUAUCGGGAGGAACACCGGUGGCGAAGGCGGUUCUCUGGGCCUGUUCUGACGCUGAGGAGCGAAAGCGUGGGGAGCAAACAGG
rnacentral:rRNA from 1 species